rnacentral:rRNA from 1 species
GACGAACGCUGGCGGCGUGCCUAACACAUGCAAGUCAACUUGACUGAAGGAGCAAUCUGACAGUAGAGUGGCGCAAAGGGUGCGUAACGCGUAAGUAACUUGCCCAAGGUAAGGAAUAACGUCGAGAAAUCGGCGCUAAUACCUCAUAAAUGCAGCGGAUCCGCAUGGAUAUGUUUGUUAAAAGGUUUACCGCCUUGGGAUAGGCUUGCGUCUGAUUAGCUAGUUGGUGUGGUAACGGCACACCAAGGCUACGAUCAGUAACUGGUCUGAGAGGAUGAUCAGUCACACUGGAACUGAGACACGGUCCAGACUCCUACGGGAGGCAGCAGUGAGGAAUAUU